AGCGAACGCUGGUGGCAGGCCUAACACAUGCAAGUCGAACGAAGCCUUCGGGCUUAGUGGCGGACGGGUGAGUAACACGUGGGAACGUACCUUUUGGUUCGGAACAACUCAGGGAAACUUGAGCUAAUACCGGAUGAGCCCUUAGGGGGAAAGAUUUAUCGCCGAAAGAGCGGCCCGCGUUGGAUUAGCUAGUUGGUGAGGUAAAGGCUCACCAAGGCUACGAUCUAUAGCUGGUCUGAGAGGAUGAUCAGCCACACUGGGACUGAGACACGGCCCAGACUCCUACGGGAGGCAGCAGUGGGGAAUCUUGCGCAAUGGGCGAAAGCCUGACGCAGCCAUGCCGCGUGAAUGAUGAAGGUCUUAGGAUUGUAAAAUUCUUUUACCAGGGACGAUAAUGACGGUACCUGGAGAAAAAGCCCCGGCUAACUUCGUGCCAGCAGCCGCAGUAAUAC
rnacentral:rRNA from 1 species